UAGAGGAUAUGUGAAAGGAGUUCACUCAGAUAUGAAGGUUGAUGAAGAUAUAUGGAAAUGUAGUACUAUUAAAUACUUUGCUGACCCUACAUUGAGAAAAAGGCAGUGACAUAAGGAUCAAGUUAACAAACAUGUGAAAACUUUUAAGAUUAAAUUUGUAACAUGAUAUCAAAAGAACACUAUGACUUGGAUCCUGGGUCUUAUAAACUAUACAUUUAAUUUCAUCUUACUUGAAUUUUAUUAACUGCAUCUUUUGUAAAGAUGCAAAUGUAACACAAGCUAGAGAUAAUUGACUAUUGAGUCUGUUAUUAGCCGAGGCAGGGACAAGAAAACAAUGCACAAUCUCUUUAAGUGGGAAAUAAUCAUCUCCUAAUGAUGACUAUAGUUAUGAAAUUGACUAAAACAACUGGU